GAUGAAGAACGUAGCGAAAUGCGAUAAGUAGUGUGAAUUGCAGAAUUCAGUGAAUCAUCGAAUCUUUGAACGCACAUUGCGCCCCUUGGUAUUCCAUGGGGCAUGCCUGUUCGAGCGUCAUUUGUACCUUCAAGCUCUGCUUGGUGUUGGGUGUUUGUCUCGCCUCUGCGCGUAGACUCGCCUCAAAACAAUUGGCAGCCGGCGUAUUGAUUUCGGAGCGCAGUACAUCUCGCGCUUUGCACUCAUAACGACGACGUCCAAAAGUACAUUUUUACACUCUUGACCUCGGAUCAGGUAGGGAUACCCGCUGAACUUAAGCAUAUCAUAAGCGGAGGA
rnacentral:misc_RNA from 1 species